CCCCGUUGCACCACCCGCUCAGUCAUCACACGGAACUGGAAAACUGAAGGUUGAAAUUCAAAAAGAACAUUGCUAAGUGCAUAUCAUGCAACUGAGAAUCCUAACUACUCUGGCUUUGCUAAUCAUAGCUGCCUUUCCAGCUGGAGAGGCAUGGCUCUUCAGAAGUAAGAUCUUUACAAUUUUAAUUAAAAA